AGGAGGUCCCGCCUGCCCUGUGACCAAAAGUUUAACGGCCGCGGUAUUUUAACCGUGCAAAGGUAGCGCAAUCAAUUGUCUUUUAAAUGAAGACCUGUAUGAAUGGCAUAACGAGGGUUUAACUGUCUCUUUUUUCAGGUCAAUGAAACUGAUCUGUCCGUGCAGAAGCGGACAUAUUAACACAAGACGAGAAGACCCUAUGGAGCUUUAGACGCCCACCAACCGCGAAAAGCAGCCUACCUUAACAAAUGCUCUAAACAACGCGGUCCUGGUACAAACGUCUUCGGUUGGGGCGACCGCGGAGGAGAACAAAGCCUCCGAGAGGAAUGGGAACAAACCCUAAAACCAAGAGCCACAGCUCUAAGUCACAAAAAAUUUGACCGACAAUGAUCCGGCUUACUGCCGAUCAACGGACCAAGUUACCCUAGGGAUAACAGCGCAAUCCCCUCCCAGAGUCCAUAUCGACGAGGGGGUUUACGACCUCGAUGUUGGAUCAGGACAUCCUAAUGGUGCAGCCGCUAUUAAGGGUUCGUUUGUUCAACGAUUAAAGUCCUACGUGAUCUG
rnacentral:rRNA from 1 species